rnacentral:rRNA from 1 species
UACGUAGGGUGCGAGCGUUGCCCGGAUUUAUUGGGCGUAAAGGGCGCGUAGGCGGCCACGCACGUCCGUUGUGAAAUCGCCCGGCUCAACUGGGCGGGGUCAGCGGAUACGGUGUGGCUCGAGCAAGCUAGGGGGCAAUGGAAUUCCCGGUGUAGUGGUGGAAUGCGUAGAUAUCGGUAGGAACACCAGUGGCGAAGGCGGUCUCUUGGGGCAUUCUUGACGCUGAGGCGCGAAAGCUGGGGGAGCGAACGGG